rnacentral:lncRNA from 1 species
CUUCAGGUAGUUAUAACUACUUCUUGGUUGUUGUUCUUUUUGGUUAGUUGAAGGAUCAAGAAGGGUUCUUGGUUUCUUCAAGAAUUAAGAAAGAAAGAUCAAGAAAGAACAGAUUUCAAUCAAAAAUUGAGAAAAGAUGAUCAAGGGUUGAUCCCUAUCCAGGCUUAGUUCGAACCUAAUUAGGCUUUGAGUUCAAAUGAGUUGUAUUAAGAGGAGCCAAUCUAGAUUGGCCCUGUGGAUACCUAUAGAGGUAGGAUACUUAUGCUGCUGAUUCUAAAUCUACUCAACCCA